UACGAAGGGGGCUAGCGUUGCUCGGAUUGACUGGGCGUAAAGGGCUCGUAGGUGGCCAACUAAGUCGGACGUGAAAUCCCUCGGCUUAACCGGGGAACUGCGUCCGAUACUGGUUGGCUUGAGUUUGGGAGAGGGAUGCGGAAUUCCAGGUGUAGCGGUGAAAUGCGUAGAUAUCAGGAAGAACACCAAUGGCGAAAGCAGCUCUCUGGGACGGUACUGACGCUGAGACGCGAAAGCGUGGGGAGCGAACAGG
rnacentral:rRNA from 1 species